rnacentral:rRNA from 1 species
UACGGAGGGUGCAAGCGUUAUCCGGAUUUACUGGGUUUAAAGGGUGCGUAGGCGGGCCUUUAAGUCAGUGGUGAAAUCCUCCGACUCAAUUGGAGAACUGCCAUUGAUACUAUUGGUCUUGAAUACAGUUGAGGUGGGCGGAAUGUGUCGUGUAGCGGUGAAAUGCUUAGAUAUGACACAGAACACCGAUUGCGAAGGCAGCUCGCUAAACUGUGAUUGACGCUGAGGCACGAAAGCGUGGGGAUCAAACAGG